ACAUCUUAAUCUUUCUCAGAAUUCUAACUCGGAUCUUGCAGUGAACUUUUUUUUAAAGCAUACUCUUAAAACUUCAUCUAAUUAGUAAGCCAUUAUCAUAAGUUAUUAUCCUAAAUGACAAAAUAAACCCAUGCUUGAACUUUUAAUUGUAAACAUUAUGCCUUAAAACCUCUUUAUCAGAAGUAGCAUUGUGGAGCACAGCUUGCAGCUGAUCCUGUAAACUCCAUUAGCCUGCAACAUCGACACGAGGGAAAUCCUCUUCAUUACACCCAGACACUGAACGCACCUCUUCACCUUUGCACGGCGUGUCAUUUGAUCUCCAAAUGCCUCUGCAGAUUAUUGUACUCCAAUACUACUACACGGCACCUUUGCAAACGUUAUGCUCUCAGCAGUAUGUAUUACAUUGCAUUAGAAAGGUUAAACUAUCAACAAACCGAACGUUUUAAUCAUAAAAUACAUCAGGCACAUUCACGCCCAGCUGCAGGCCUGCUGCUCAUUCAAGGCAGUGAAUCUCUAAUGGAGGCUGUUUCAUGCGGGUGUGCAGCUGCUGGUAGACUGAAGUUACAGGUUGAAAGAGACAUCGGUUGCAGAAUAAGAAGCACAUCUUGCCAGUACCACAGUCCCGCUCCCAGAUAAGUGUUGAAACAAUAAUGAAGCAGAGCUCGGAGAGCUUUUCUUGGGAAAAGCACUUUUGGGAUGUGUCCACUUAGUACAGAAAUACCCCCCCCCCUUUCAUAGAAAAAAAUAGAGUGCCACUUCUUCAACUGUAAGGUCCAGCAGGUCUUCACUGGUGAGGGCAGCCUAACCCUUUCAUUUAAAUACAAAUAAAUUUUCAAGUCAUAAAUCCACUGCAGUUGUGAGCUGCUGCUACAGCUAAACUACCAGAUUAGUUCACAUUCAGUAAGACGGCAUGCAAAGUUAACUGAAAGUGUAAAGUUAAGUGCAGCAUUUUUAUCCUGAACUGGAUGAAAAAAUAAACAUACUCCUGUAUUUGACUGUAUUCUGUCAAUCAUACAUUUUGAUUAUGUUUUGUUAAUAUAUGGUUUCAAGAUCAAUUCUACAGAAUACAGUUUUGGAAAUGUUUUAUUUCAUUUGGCUCUCAACUGUACAUUGGCUUCUGGGCACGUGCCCAUUGAGUAAUCUGGCCCUUCAUCUUAAUAAUAAUAUCCUCAUCUUGCAGGAUCAUCCCUAUAAAGCAUGUUCAUAAAUGAUAAAUGUUAAUAUAUGUUGGUUCUAAUGGCACAAUGUGGCAUAGCAGUCUAUAUUUUCUGCUUUUUGUUGUUUAUAAAUGCAUGCAGAAAUAAAGCUCAUAGUCAUAGAAGUAUUUUUCAGUAGGACUUCAGCUGUUUUGUGCAGUGACUGUUACUAAAGCUCUUAACCCCUGCUUACAUUGACAAUGUAAGUGAAGUUUAGUCAGAUAUAGCUAACAAUGUAAUUGUCAGGGGUGACAGAAAUCAUUACCUUCUGUAUUCACUUGUUAAGCUGUGCUUGAGUCUUUGAGACUGUUGCUUGUUAUCACAUGUUUAUAUAGUACAAAUGAAAAUAAAUAUAAAUCAGUGUAGCAAUGGUUACAGUAAGAAUGUUUAAGCAGUUUAGCAUGAAAUAUGAAAAUAAUUCAAAACACAUUAGUUGUGUUUGCACAUGCCUAAUGAUUAUAUGUUAUGAUCAUGUGUUUAUCCUGCAACAGUGCAAAAAAAAUAUUUUUUUUCCAUUGGAUUGUGCUAGAGUAGCUUUGUAUGAUUCACAGUUUGAAAUAAUCCUUAUUUAUCCUAAGGCUUUGGUGCAGCUUCUCAGUGCAUCUGCUCUCUCUCACACGUCAUUUCAGUUUCUCUUCCUAGGCUGAUGUGAUCAUAGCCACAGAUUUAAGCAGAAGAUGGCUAUAUUAAGGGUAUCCCUUUCUCUCAUCAUAAAGAUCUAAGAAUAGAAAAGCUGUUGGGAGCUGUGUCUUAUGUGAGCUUAUGGCUCAUAGGGAUUGCAAGUUGACCUCAUUAUUUGAAACCUUGGCUAUGUUUAAUAUGUGCAUCUACCAUUGUAGCAUAAACUACCAAAAAUAAGGAAUAAUAGGUGAACUUUUGAGAAAAAACUUUCUUGCUAGAAGAUUAAAUAUGGCUUGUUGGUCAUUUUUCUCUUGCUACUGAUGUAAAGGUUCACAGAAGACUUUUUUUCUAGAUUGAACUGCUGCCUAAUUCUUUCCAAUCAUUAUUGAAGGCUGUGGGAUUUGUUUGUUAGGAGUUGCUGUGAGCAACUGAGAUGCAAGAGCAUGGGAUCCUCCUCAGCUCAUAUGGCUCACUUAACAGCCAUGUUAGGAGUUGCCCAGAGUGCUGAGUAAUGAAGCUGUUGAGUGGUUUACUUUUGUCAGUUGUUCCUGAUAUUGAAGUCCAUUACCACAUCACACAGCGCACUCAUGAGAGUAAAUGAGAGCAUUUUCUCCUGGGAGCAAAUGGGUGCUGUAAGAGAAUAAUAGCAGUGAUUUAAACAUUCAUGUGUGUAA